rnacentral:rRNA from 1 species
GAGACUCUGUGCGCGUGCAUAUCAAUAAGCGGAGGAAAAGAAACUAACAAGGAUUCCCUUAGUAACGGCGAGUGAAGCGGGAAGAGCUCAAAUUUGAAAUCUUCAAGGUUCUACCUUGACGAAUUGUAGUUUAUAGAAGUGUUUUCUGUUAGUAGAGUGGCAAAAGUUCUUUGGAAUAGGACAUCAUAGAGGGUGAGAAUCCCGUAUUUGGUCAUUCUUUCUAGCUUUGUGAUACACUUUCAACGAGUCGGAUUGUUUGGGAAUGCAGUCCAAAAUGGGUGGUAAAUUUCAUCUAAAGCUAAAUAUUGGCGAGAGACCGAUAGCGAACAAGUACCGUGAGGGAAAGAUGAAAAGAACUUUGAAAAGAGAGUUAAACAGUACGUGAAAUUGUCAAAAGGGAAGCGUUUGACACCAGUGUUGUUUUUCCGAAAAUCAAUUACGAAUGUUUUGUUUUUGAGGAGUUAUGACUUCAUCGGCUUGCUCCUUUCUUUACGAAACUUUCUUAAUGCACUUUUCGGUUAACAAGUCAACAUCAAUUUCUUUUGUUGUAAAAGGGUAUGAGGAAGGUGGCUUUCUUUUCGGAGAAAGUGUUUAUAGCCUUGUACCUCUGCAAUCGGAGAGAUCGAGGUCUGCAGCGUAGAUCCUUCGGGGUUAGAUACAUUUGUGCUAAGCUAUAGUUCUUUAUAGACAACUUGUUGACUAUAAUCAAUCCUGUAACUUACUCGCUUAUGCUAUUUUACCUACGCUUAGGAUGUUGAACUCUAUCACACACAG